AGUGAACGCUGGCGGUAGGCCUAACACAUGCAAGUCGAACGGCAGCACAGUAAGAGCUUGCUCUUACGGGUGGCGAGUGGCGGACGGGUGAGGAAUACAUCGGAAUCUACUUUUUCGUGGGGGAUAACGUAGGGAAACUUACGCUAAUACCGCAUACGACCUACGGGUGAAAGCAGGGGAUCUUCGGACCUUGCGCGAUUGAAUGAGCCGAUGUCGGAUUAGCUAGUUGGCGGGGUAAAGGCCCACCAAGGCGACGAUCCGUAGCUGGUCUGAGAGGAUGAUCAGCCACACUGGGACUGAGACACGGUCCAGCCUCCUACGGGAGGCAGAAGUGGGGAAUAUUGGACAAUGGGAGCAAGCCUGAUCCAGCCCUACCGCGUGGGUGAAGAAGGCCUUCGUGUUGUAAAGCCCUUUUGUUGGGAAAGAAAAGCAGCAGGUUAAUACCCCGCUGUUCUGACGGUACCCAAAGAAUAAGCACCGGCUAACUUCGUG
rnacentral:rRNA from 1 species